UACCAGCUCUUCGAGUGGUGUGGAUGUUUAUUGGGCCUAAAGCAUCCGUAGCUGGCUGGGCAAGUCCCCUGUUAAAUCCACCGAUUCAAUCGUUGGAGUGCGGGGGAUACUGCUCGGCUAGGGGACGGGAGAGGCAGACGGUAUUUUCGGGGUAGGGGUGAAAUCCUAUAAUCCCGGGAAGACCACCAGUGGCGAAGGCUGUCUGCUAGAACGCGCCCGACGGUGAGGGAUGAAAGCUGGGGGAGCGAACCGGAUUAGAUACCCGGGUAGUCCCAGCUGUAAACGAUGCAGGCUAGGUGUUUGGACGGCCACGUGCCGUUCUAGUGCCGCAGGGAAGCCGUUAAGCCUGCCGCCUGGGGAGUACGGCCGCAAGGCUGAAACUUAAGGAAUUGGCGGGGAGCACCACAAGGGGUGAAGCUUGCGGUUU
rnacentral:rRNA from 1 species